GAAUAUUGGACAAUGGGCGCAAGCCUGAUCCAGCCAUGCCGCGUGGGUGAAGAAGGCCUUCGGGUUGUAAAGCCCUUUUGUUGGGAAAGAAAAGCAGCCAGUUAAUACCUGGUUGUUCUGACGGUACCCAAAGAAUAAGCAUCGGCUAACUUCGUGCCAGCAGCCGCGGUAAUACGAAGGGUGCAAGCGUUACUCGGAAUUACUGGGCGUAAAGCGUGCGUAGGUGGUUGUUUAAGUCUGUUGUGAAAGCCCUGGGCUCAACCUGGGAAUUGCAGUGGAUACUGGACGACUAGAGUGUGGUAGAGGGUAGUGGAAUUCCUGGUGUAGCAGUGAAAUGCGUAGAGAUCAGGAGGAACAUCCAUGGCGAAGGCAGCUACCUGGACCAACACUGACACUGAGGCACGAAAGCGUGGGGAGCAAACAGG
rnacentral:rRNA from 1 species